UUAAAUCUGAAAUACCAAUUAUAACUGAAAGAGAUUUUAACCUGUUUCUUUUCAGACUGCCUGAAGUUACAUUGUAGAUGCUGAAAUCACUGCACCUUAAAAACAAAAAGAUUAAGCUGCACUGCAUUCUUACAAAUUACCUUCGUGGUCCUGGUCCUUUCGUUCCACACAAUUAUCGACUGAGCUGAAGGAGAUCUCCCUAUAGCUGUGAGUAGUAAUGAGGCUUUAGCAUUUCUUUGCACAUUGCUGCUAGAGAGUGACCUCUCUCUCUAGAAGGCUCACCUUUUCAUUACAAAGGUGUUACUUCUUUUCUGCAUAUUUAAAGCACUGCUUGUGUUACUAUGCAAUCCCUUCACUGUAGAGUAACAGAAAAAUUCAAGCUGACAUAAGUUCCAACAAGCUUCUUUAACCUUGAAAGUGAAAGGUGUCCAGUAACAGGCAGGAGCUUUGAAAGACAGCGGAAGAAUAGAUUCAUUUUGGAUUGUACUCAGAAUGUUGUAUAAAUGAUCCAAGAAACUCAGAGAGAUGCCACAAACACCCCAUUAAGGAGAUACCAGUGACAGAAUGAGAGCUACUGUCCAAAACUGCUUGAGUUUUGACAGCAUUACAUGAUGGCAUCUGAGAUGUAUGUAGAUGUCAGCCAGUGAUAGUGUCCUUUGGUGAAGUCAUUUAUUCACCUGACACUGAUUUUUCCCCUUGUACCAGUGCAUGUACUCUCUUUGUGCGACAGAAUUGAUGUGAUCUUAUGAAAUUCCAAGAAAA
rnacentral:lncRNA from 1 species